rnacentral:rRNA from 1 species
AUACGUAGGUGACAAGCGUUAUCCGGAUUUACUGGGCGUAAAGGGCGUGUAGGCGGUCUUGCAAGUCAGAAGUGAAAUUCCUGAGCUCAACUCGGGCGCUGCUUCUGAAACUGCAGGACUUGAGUGCUGGAGGGGAUAGCGGAAUUCCUAGUGUAGCGGUAAAAUGCGCAGAUAUUAGGAAGAACACCGGUGGCGAAGGCGGCUAUCUGGACAGUAACUGACGCUGAGGCGCGAAAGCGUGGGGAGCAAACAGGAUUAGAUCCCCUGGUAGUCCACGCCGUAAACGAUGAAUACUAGGUGUAGGGGGUAUCGACUCCCUCUGUGCCGCAGUUAACACAAUAAGUAUUCCGCCUGGGGAGUACGGCCGCAAGGUUGAAACUCAAAUGAAUUGACGGGG